CGAGAAUCGUACCGAACUGGAAUCGAAACAACAGAAAGCUAAACCGAAAUUUCGGUUCAUAAGCAGACCCGGAACCAAAACUGCACAUCCCUACUUAUCACAAUGCUGCUAUUGGGCACAUUUAUGGUUGUCUUUACAUGAAUCAUGUUAAUAAUUUAAACAAAUUUAUGGGUGGUUGUCCACUUAUUCUUGACAAUGUGGUUCAAUGCAGUUAUAGCUUUAGUAACGGCUGUAGUUGAUAUGACAUGGCAUUGACAUCAUGUUACUUGCAGGUCUUCUUCUUUGGCAACAGAGCAGGCUUCAGUGGAUUGGAAGUAACACUUCCACAAAUCAAACCCAACAGAGAUGGGAACGCAGAUUAAGGUAUUUUAAGUUCAGCUGGUUUGUUCAUUUAGACUAAUCUAGAGUCAUACUCUCACCUGAAAUACUGAACUAUUAAGCGAUUUAGAAUAAGAAUUUCCUUUAAGUCAGGCUGAUCAACUAACUUUCUUCAAGAACCUGCUCUUUUUGGCCUUCCGUGAAAUCUUCCUAUCAUGUUGAUCAAAUACUUUGGGAAAAUGAUAAGUGAUGUAUUGCCAAUUCCAACAAUCAAAUUUGAAUGCUUUUGCUGUUGAAGGAAUGAGGAGAAAUCAUCUUAGUAGGAUUUAGGGAAGAGCCCUGGUUUAUAUUCAUCUUCUUUUAUGUAAUUUCUCAUAUUGGUUCUGCAUUUGCAGCUGGAAUGCAACUUAUGAAGGCUUACUUGGAACCAGAAAUCCUUUCCCCCAGCCCAUUCCUCUCUCUGUAAGUCUGGCUAUCUGGUUUACUUCCUAUUUCAGUAGAGCAGCAUGUUUCAACAUUUGUUAAUUGGAUUUUAACUGGCAGGAACUUAUUGAUUUUCUGGUGGACGUAUGGGAGCAGGAGGGAUUGUACGAUUGAAGAACUGAAUUGCAAAAAGUAUUUCAGCUUUCAUUCUGUAUUCCUCAUCGUUGUAAGUUUGACUGGUAAGAGGCUUCUGUAAAUAGUCAAAAAAAAAAGGAAGAAGACCAAGAAAAUGUUUCUAGGAAAAUGCUAAGCAUGGUUGCAGGUAAUAUGACUCUGCAAUCUGGACCAUUAAUUGAUGUGGGUCUCAUGUGCUUUAUGAGGUGCGACCUGCAUCAAUCAACACUUCGGGUUGCACAGCCAUAUCACCUGCGACUGUGAAAGGCAAACCUCAUGUUUCUGUUCCAAUUGUAUUAUUCCAUAUUAAUGGUAAUCCACUUUCUCCUUGCGUCCCACUUAGUAAUUUCAUGUUGAGUACUGUAUACAUGUGGGGAAAUGCCAUUUUUCCUUAUUUGCAUGAAGAUAUGUACACACAUACUGAAGGCUGUUGGAGAGAUGGUCAUUGGUCGGGAAACUCGUGUUUAAGAUUGCUCUGGCAUGUUUAUAUACUGUCUCUGCUACCAGGGACAGGUGGUGCUCAAAGAUUGAUAAAGUUGCAAUCAACAAUUCAUGUUUGUGAAAUCUUAAUAAUGCUGGAUCCAAUCUAGAAUUGGUUAUAUUGCUGUUAAGCAAAGAAGUAUCAACUCUCAAUGGAAUCAAAUCGAUAUGCUGACUUGGUACGUGAAAUCUCUUGAAUAAUUCGUAAGAUGGUUAAACAUGAAGCACCAAAAAAACAUCGUGGUAGUUGAUCCCGAUCUCGCUGCCUUUUCUGUAGAAACAGAAACAAAGGAAUUAGAGCCCAGCCCCAAACAUAACAAGCCUAAAGGGAAAGCGGAGAUCAAGACCUGACCAGAGAUGAGGGAUUUCUUCUUUACUUUCCUUUACAUCACCAUUUUCAUAUGCUCAAUUCAAGCGGGUUUCUUCUUUUCCUAAUGGAACGCACCAUCCUUCCUCUUUUAAUCCCUCACGAAACUCUCAACCAGUUCACUAAAUCACGAUUUCGUUUUUGUACAGGAAUUGUCAUUUUGUCUUUUAUGCCAUUUGUUAAUGUGUCAUUCUCAUGUUUUCUCAAUGGUUUCCUUUGUAAAACUUGUCCCUUUAGAAUUUGCAAAUUUCAAACUUAAAAU
rnacentral:misc_RNA from 1 species